CGAGGGGGGCGUGGCGAGUGGGAGGCGGGGAGUGAGGCGGUGGGAAGGUCCGCGCGUGCUAAGGUCCAGGAGGCCAGGUUGUACUCCAGGCCAACUCGUCUCAGGCUUCCAGAGGUGUGGCACUUGCUGCUCUGCGAGAAAUCCAGCUUUGGCCACAACAAAUCGCGCCAUCGGAAAUUCGUGAAGAUGCUCUAUCGCGAUCACAGCUCGAGUCAGGCUGUCCCCGCGCCGGGUCUCUGGGGGGCGGGGCUCGAGGGAGACCUGCGCUCCGCAGAUCGGUGGCCACAGUUUUCUAAAUUUUGCCCUGUCUGCUAUAUUCCUCCUCGAUGCACGUCCAAAGACCUGGAAUGUCCCGCGCCAGUUUGAAAACAGCCAAUCACGAAGCUCCAGCUUCCCAUCACCCUGACAGAGGAGGCAACCUAUUCCAUCCCACCACGUCCCUGAAAUGCCCUUAUUUGAUAAUCUGCGCUCCCAAGUUCAAACCCAGAACCCCCUCACCCAUAAAAAUCCCCGCCCAUCACCUACCAGGUGCGACUUCCCUGACUCCUCAUUCCCGGGGUCAUUGGACCUCACCCGGGAAUCGCAGAUCCCAAUAAAGGCUUACUUGGCU
rnacentral:lncRNA from 1 species